UACGUAGGGUGCAAGCGUUGUCCGGAAUUAUUGGGCGUAAAGAGCUCGUAGGCGGUUUGUUGCGUCGGCUGUGAAAUCCCGAGGCUCAACCUCGGGUCUGCAGUCGAUACGAGCAAACUAGAGUGUUGCAGGGGAGACUGGAAUUUCUGGUGUAGCGGUGAAAUGCGCAGAUAUCAGGAGGAACACCGGUGGCGAAGGCGGGUCUCUGGGCAAUAACUGACGCUGGAGGAGCGAAAGCCGUGGGGAGCGAACAGG
rnacentral:rRNA from 1 species